UUCUCACGAAAUUAAGUAUGGCGCGCCGGGAUUCAAGCAUGUAAACAUAAACAAACGACCAUUUCAGAUCGGGAUUUCACUUCUAAGUUACUCCAGUUGUCGCGCAGCCUGGCGAAUCUUUGUCACUAAUUGAAAAUCUGAACAUUUUUUCUUCAAGGGCUUGCAAGGAUUUGGCGGAUCGCACUGUGGUAUCUAUUACAGUUAUUAUGGAUAAUGGAGUGAUUGUGCUGUGGGUGGCAUUUCAAAUGCAGGUGAUGAAAAC